rnacentral:rRNA from 1 species
GUGCCAGCAGCCGCGGUAAUACGUAGGUGGCGAGCGUUGUCCGGAAUUACUGGGCGUAAAGGGAGCGUAGGCGGUUUUUUAAGUGGGAUGUGAAAUCCCCGGGCUCAACCUGGGAAUUGCAUUCCAAACUGGGAAACUAGAGUGCAGGAGAGGAAAGUGGAAUUCCAAGUGUAGCGGUGAAAUGCGUAGAGAUUUGGAGGAACACCAGUGGCGAAGGCGACUUUCUGGACUGUAACUGACGCUGAGGCUCGAGAGCGUGGGGAGCAAACAGGAUUAGAUACCCUGGUAGUCC